rnacentral:misc_RNA from 1 species
GUUGCUGAGGUCCUCCUUGCUCUGGAGUAUUUGCAUAUGCUAGGAGUUGUAUACCGUGAUUUGAAACCAGAAAACAUUCUGGUUCGGGAAGAUGGUCACAUCAUGCUUACUGAUUUUGACCUCUCACUCAGAUGUUCUGUUAAUCCCACUCUUCUACAGUCAUCCUCAUUGGGAGUAGAAGCCCCGCGGAUCUCUGGUCCAUGCGCAGGAUCCAACUGCAUUGAUCCAUUUUGUGCUGGACCAUCAUGUCAAGUUUCUUGCUUUAGCCCCAGAGUUUUACCUGGCACUGCUAAAGCAAGAAA